rnacentral:rRNA from 1 species
AGUGGCGGACGGGUGAGUAACACGUAAGAAUUUGCCUUUAGGAGGGGGACAACAACUGGAAACGGUUGCUAAUACCCCAUAUGCUUUCGAGUGAGAUGGAUUUUUCCGCCUAAAGAGAAGCUUGCGGCUGAUUAGCUUGUUGGUGAGGUAAUAGCUCACCAAGGCGACGAUCAGUAUCUGGUUUGAGAGGAUGAUCAGACACACUGGAACUGAGACACGGUCCAGACUCCUACGGGAGGCAGCAGUGGGGAAUUUUCCGCAAUGGGCGAAAGCCUGACGGAGCAAUCUCGCGUGAGGGAUGACGGCCUAUGGGUUGUAAACCUCUUUUUUCAGGGAGGAACAAAAUGACGUGUACCUGAAGAAUAAGCAUCGGCUAACUCCGUGCCAGCAGCCGCGGUAAGACGGAGGAUGCAAGUGUUAUCCGGAAUCACUGGGCGUAAAGCGUCUGUAGGUGGUUUAAUAAGUCAACUGUUAAAUCUUGAAGCUCAACUUCAAAAUCGCAGUCGAAACUAUUAGACUAGAGUAUAGUAGGGGUAAAGGGAAUUUCCAGUGGAGCGGUGAAAUGCGUAGAUAUUGGAAAGAACACCGAUGGCGAAGGCACUUUACUGGGCUAUUACUGACACUCAGAGACGAAAGCUAGGGUAGCAAAUGGGAUUAGAUACCCCAGUAGUCCUAGCCGUAAACAAUGGAUACUAGAUGU